CAUCACCCAUGCAGAGCCCGCCAACGUGUUCGACAUCAAUUCCCACACGGGGGAGAUCUGGCUCAAGAAUUCCAUCCGCUCCCUGGAUGCCCUGCACAACAUCACACCUGGAAGGGACUGCCUAUGGUCCCUAGAGGUGCAGGCCAAGGACCGGGGCUCCCCAUCCUUCAGCACCACAGCCUUACUCAAGAUUGACAUCACAGAUGCUGAGGUGAGAAGACUAAGAAGCAACUGAAUACUUCCCUACCCACCAACAUGCUCCUGGCUCUCCCCUGCACUGCUUGCUGCUCUUCCACAGCCCUUCUCUCAUCCUGACCCCUCUGUCUCAUGUGCACCACCAAGCUUCUUUUGCUUGGCUUGAAGGUCUGAACAUCCACUCUCACCUUCAUGGUAGCCCAGGCUAUUUCAUGAUGGUGACACCCUCAAGAUCCGUAGACCACUGUAUUAGUUCGUUCUCAUGCUGCUAAUAAAGAUACCCGAGACUGGGUAAUUUAUAGAGGAAA
rnacentral:lncRNA from 1 species